rnacentral:rRNA from 1 species
UACGUAGGGACCGAGCGUUGUCCGGAUUUAUUGGGCGUAAAGAGCUCGUAGGCGGCCCUUCGCGUCGGAUGUGAAAGCUCAGGGCUCAACCCUGAGAGGCCAUUCGAUACGGGAGGGCUAGAGGUAGGUAGGGGAAAGUGGAAUUCCUGGUGUAGCGGUGAAAUGCGCAGAUAUCAGGAGGAACACCAAUGGCGAAGGCAGCUUUCUGGGCCUUACCUGACGCUGAGGAGCGAAAGCUGGGGGAGCGAACAGG